rnacentral:rRNA from 1 species
AAGGGCGCGUAGGCGGAUUAUCAAGUCUCUUGUGAAAUCUAAUGGCUUAACCAUUAAACUGCUUGGGAAACUGAUAGUCUAGAGUGAGGGAGAGGCAGAUGGAAUUGGUGGUGUAGGGGUAAAAUCCGUAGAUAUCACCAAGAAUACCCAUUGCGAAGGCGAUCUGCUGGAACUCAACUGACGCUAAGGCGCGAAAGCGUGGGGAGCAAACAGGAUUAGAUACCCUGGUAGUCCACGCCCUAAACGAUGUACACUAGUUGUUGGGAUGCUAGUCAUCUCAGUAAUGCAGCUAACGCAUUAAGUGUACCGCCUGGGGAGUACGGUCGCAAGAUUAAAACUCAAAGGAAUAGACGGGGACCCGCACAAGCGGUGGAGCAUGUGGUUUAAUUCGAAGAUACGCGAAGAACCUUACCUGGGCUUGAUAUCCUAAGAACCUUAUAGAGAUAUGAGGGUGCUAGCUUGCUAGAACUUAGAGACAGGUGCUGCACGGCUGUCGUCAGCUCGUGUCGUGAGAUGUUGGGUUAAGUCCCGCAACGAGCGCAACCCACGUAUUUAGUUGCUAACGGUUCGGCCGAGCACUCUAAAUAGACUGCCUUCGUAAGGAGGAGGAAGGUGUGGACGACGUCAAGUCAUCAUGGCCCUUAUGCCCAGGGCGACACACGUGCUACAAUGGCAUAUACAAUGAGACGCAAUACCGCGAGGUGGAGCAAAUCUAUAAAAUAUGUCCCAGUUCGGAUUGUUCUCUGCAACUCGAGAGCAUGAAGCCGGAAUCGCUAGUAAUCGUAGAUCAGCCAUGCUACGGUGAAUACGUUCCCGGGUCUUG